CCCUUCGUAGUGUAGUGGUCAGCACGCUUGACGCGUAACCGAGAGGUCCGUGGUUAGAUUCCCAGCGAAGGCG
rfam:Stegodyphus mimosarum contig23835, whole genome shotgun sequence.